rnacentral:tRNA from 1 species
GGGUUGUUAGUAUAUUUUAGUAUAUUUAAUUGCAGAUUGAAUGGUUAAAGAGCCCU